UACGUAGGGCGCAAGCGUUGUCCGGAAUUAUUGGGCGUAAAGAGCUCGUAGGCGGCUUGUCACGUCGGGUGUGAAAGCCCGGGGCUUAACCCCGGGUCUGCAUUCGAUACGGGCUAGCUAGAGUGUGGUAGGGGAGAUCGGAAUUCCUGGUGUAGCGGUGAAAUGCGCAGAUAUCAGGAAGAACACCGGUGGCGAAGGCGGCUCUCUGGGCCUUACCUGACGCUGAGGAGCGAAAGCGUGGGUAGCGAACAGG
rnacentral:rRNA from 1 species